rnacentral:rRNA from 1 species
AUACGUAGGGGGCAAGCGUUAUCCGGAUUUACUGGGUGUAAAGGGAGCGUAGACGGAAGGCCAAGUCUGAUGUGAAAGCCCGCGGCUCAACUGCGGGACUGCAUUGGAAACUGGUCAUCUGGAGUGCAGGAGGGGUAAGCGGAAUUCCUAGUGUAGCGGUGAAAUGCGUAGAUAUUAGGAGGGACACCAGAGGCGAAGGCGGCUUACUGGACUGUAACUGACGUUGAGGCUCGAAGGCGUGGGGAGCAAACAGGAUUAGAUACCCUGGUAGUCCACGCGGUAAACGAUGAUCACUAGGUGUCGGCGGCCAUAGGCGGUCGGUGCCGCAGCAAACGCAAUAAGUGAUCCACCUGGGGAGUACGUUCGCAAGAAUGAAACUCAAAUGAAUUGGCGGGG